CAGUAGCGCGGUAAUACGGAGGGUGCAAGCGUUAAUCGGAAUUACUGGGCGUAAAGCGCACGCAGGCGGUCUGUCAAGUCAGAUGUGAAAUCCCCGGGCUUAACCUGGGAACUGCAUUUGAAACUGUCAGGCUAGAGUCUUGUAGAGGGGGGUAGAAUUCCAGGUGUAGCGGUGAAAUGCGUAGAGAUCUGGAGGAAUACCGGUGGCGAAGGCGGCCCCCUGGACAAAGACUGACGCUCAGGUGCGAAAGCGUGGGGAGCAAACAGGAUUAGAUACCCCGGUAGUCCCUGUCUCUUAUACA
rnacentral:rRNA from 1 species